rnacentral:rRNA from 1 species
GAUGAACGCUGGCGGCGUGCCUAACACAUGCAAGUCGAGCGAAGCGGGGACGGGUGAGUAACACGUUGAUAACCUCCUAUAAGACUGGGAUAACUUCGGGAAACCGGAGCUAAACCGGAUAAUUAUAGAUGGAUCCGCGCUGCAUUAGCUAGUUGGUAAGGUAACGGCUUACCAAGGCCACGAUGCAUAGCCGACCUGAGAGGGUGAUCAGCCCCACUGGAACUGAUACACGGUCCAGACUCCUACGGGAGGCAGCAGUAGGGAAUCUUCAGCAAUGGGCGAAAUCCUGACUGAGCGACGCCGCGUUGAUGAUGAAGGUCUUCGGAUCGUAGAACUCUUUUAUUAGGGAAGCGGUACCUAAUCAAGAAGCCACGGCUAACUACGUGCCAGCAGCCGCGGUAAUAC